rnacentral:tRNA from 1 species
CGCCCUUAGCUCAGCUGGAUAGAGCACGUCCCUUCUAAGGAUGUGGUCGUAGGUUCUUAUAUUAGGUUAA